AAGGGAGAUGAAUUAAAAGUGAAAGUAAACAAAUUGACAUCAACAAAGACUCAGCUUCCUUACUCGUAUUAUUCACUCCCAUUUUGUCGUCCAGAAAAGAUAUUGGACAGCGCAGAGAAUCUGGGUGAAGUUCUUCGAGGAGACAGAAUUGAAAAUUCCCCCUACGUGUUCAAAAUGCGGGAACCUCAGAUGUGUAGUAUUGUUGGCCGGAUUAAACUCGAUGCUAAAGAAGCAAAGGAGUUCAAAGAGAAGAUCAAUGAUGAAUACCGGGUCAAUAUGAUCUUGGAUAACCUACCCCUGGU
rnacentral:misc_RNA from 1 species